AUUGAACGCUGGCGGCAUGCUUUACACAUGCAAGUCGAACGGUAACAGGCCGCAAGGUGCUGACGAGUGGCGAACGGGUGAGUAAUGCAUCGGAACGUGCCCAGUCGUGGGGGAUAGCGCAGCGAAAGCCGCGCUAAUACCGCAUACGAUCUCUGGAUGAAAGCGGCGGACCGAAAGGCCCCGCGCGAUUGGAGCGGCCGAUGUCAGAUUAGGUAGUUGGUGGGGGAAAGGCCCACCAAGCCAACGAUCUGUAGCUGGUCUGAGAGGACGACCAGCCACACUGGGACUGAGACACGGCCCAGACUCCUACGGGAGGCAGCAGUGGGGAAUUUUGGACAAUGGGCGCAAGCCUGAUCCAGCAAUGCCGCGUGCAGGAAGAAGGCCUUCGGGUUGUAAACUGCUUUUGUACGGAACGAAACGGUCCUGGUUAAUACCUGGGGCUAAUGACGGUACCGUAAGAAUAAGCACCGGCUAACUACGUGCCAGCAGCCGCCGUAAGAC
rnacentral:rRNA from 1 species